rnacentral:rRNA from 1 species
UACGAAGGGGGCUAGCGUUGCUCGGAAUCACUGGGCGUAAAGCGCACGUAGGCGGCUUUCUAAGUCAGGGGUGAAAUCCUGGAGCUCAACUCCAGAACUGCCUUUGAUACUGGAGAGCUUGAGUCCGGAAGAGGUGAGUGGAACUCCGAGUGUAGAGGUGAAAUUCGUAGAUAUUCGGAAGAACACCAGUGGCGAAGGCGGCUCACUGGUCCGGUACUGACGCUGAUGUGCGAAAGCUAGGGGAGCGAACAGG